UACGGAGGGUGCAAACGUUGUUCGGAAUCAUUGGGCGUAAAGAGCACGUAGGCGGCUCAUUAGGUCGGGUGUGAAAUCCCGGGGCUUAACCUCGGAAUUGCGCUCGAAACCGGUGAGCUUGAGUCCUGGAGGGAGAAGUAGAAUUCCUGGUGUAGGGGUGAAAUCCGUAGAUAUCAGGAGGAAUACCAGUGGCGAAGGCGACUUCUUGGCCAAGGACUGACGCUGAGGUGCGAAAGCGUGGGUAGCAAACAGG
rnacentral:rRNA from 1 species